CACGUAGGGGACGAGCGUUGUCCGGAUUCAUUGGGCGUAAAGCGCGCGUAGGCGGCCCGGUAAGUCCGUUGUGAAAGUCAAAGGCUCAACCUUUGAAUGCCGAUGGAUACUGCCGGGCUAGAGUCCGGAAGAGGCGAGUGGAAUUCCUGGUGUAGCGGUGGAAUGCGCAGAUAUCAGGAGGACCACCGAUGGCGAAGGCAGCUCGCUGGGACGGUACUGACGCUGAGACGCGAAAGCGUGGGGAGCAAACAGG
rnacentral:rRNA from 1 species